GUUUACACGGGGAAGUUAAUUUGGGAUUGGAUUCUAUUUCUCUGAGAAGAUAAAUAAAAUUCGUAUUCACAGAGAAAUAUAAGGUCGACUGCAUUACAAAUAGGCUUUGUAAAACAUGCACCCUAGAUCGGCUGGCGAUUGGACCUUUAGCAGGUUUCUUCCACAUCAGCAUCGCCACGGCCACGCCCAGCUUCUGCUUACUCCUCUUGGUAAACAGUGAUGUGUACACUUGAUAGAACUGCGUUGUCCUUGUGCUGACAUCAUGUCUGUGUCCCUAUAUCUCCACCUCCACCCCCACCCCCAUGCUGGCUGUUAAGGUUGUUUCAGAUCUGAAGCUCUGCGAAGCCGAACAAAAUCCAUCUGUCUUUGCUGCAGCCACACACGCUCCUCUAAGAACUCUUACGUCAUGCAGGAUGGGGGAGAAUCCUGCCGAGUCCAGUU
rnacentral:lncRNA from 1 species